rnacentral:lncRNA from 1 species
GGUGAUACCGCUUUUGAAACAGACACACAAUAAGCCCAUACUUCAUCUCUUUUCUUUAAAUAUUUGGAUUCGUUUCUAAUUAAACUAGGUCUAUCCGAGAUAUAUUUGACAAGUGUGUCAUGACACUCUUUGCCUUCUUGAACAAGCUCCUUGCAACAAGGAAUGGAUACAACUCCAUCUCCAAAAACUUGAGAAAUGAUCGUGAGCGCACAGUUUGGACUGAUUUUAACAAUACAUUGAUCCCAUAACUUUUUUGGCUCAUUUUCUUCUACAGCUAAUGAAGAUACACAUAUAAUCGCCACAACUAGAACAACAAAAGACAACAUAAUAAAGUUAAUCUUCGCCAUGGUUUUUACGUGUUUGAGGAUUUACAGUUUAACUUUUUUCAAGUUAGAGAAAGAAAUAA